CUCCCCCAUCACCCAAGGGCUUUGCAGGGCGCGGACGGGGGCUCGGAGCGGGGCUGGAUGGGAGGAGGGGCCGGGGCUCCGCCAUCCUCACUCAUUCACCGGGUUCCAACCAACCCCGCCAAGCCCAAAGGCGCCCGGCUGGCACCUCCUGCCCGGGCAUCCCCCGUGCCAGCCUGCGGCACCCGGGAGCUGGGAUGCGACCGCGGGCGUCGCCGCUGCGGGCACCGGCGCCUGCAGCGAGGGCCGGCGGCGGGGCUGGAGGGCUGGAUGCCGCUGAGAGGAUGAGAACAUGGGGCUCAGGUUAUCCUGCCUGAAAGGCCUGAAGAUGUGUGUGAGCAGCGGGAACGGCAGCGAGGGGACCCCGAGGGCGGGACAGAAGCACCUCCACGUGCCCUCCAUCAUCGUCACACCGCCCACGCCCACGGGCACCGCGCUGGCCCGGCGUGGGGAGGGUCCCUCGCCCUGCAGCCCCUGCUGAGAGAGGGGACACCGGGGA